rnacentral:rRNA from 1 species
AGUCAAUAGAUACCCAGGUAGUCCACGCCCUAAACGAUGUCGACUGGUUGUUGGGGGUUUGACACUCUCAGUAAACGAAAGCUAAACGCGUGAAGUCGACCGCCUGGGGAGUACGGCCGCAAGGUUAAAACUCAAAGGAAUUGACGGGGACCCGCACAAGCGGUGGAUUAUGUGGAUUAAUUCGAUGCAACGCGAAAAACCUUACCUACCCUUGACAUGUCCGGGAGCCUGCUGAGAGGCGGGUGUGCUCGAAAGAGAACCGGAACACAGGUGCUGCAUGGCUGUCGUCAGCUCGUGUCGUGAGAUGUUGGGUUAAGUCCCGCAACGAGCGCAACCCUUGCCAUUAGUUGCCACCCGUAAGGGGGCACUCUAAUGGGACUGCCGGUGACAAACCGGAGGAAGGUGGGGAUGACGUCAAGUCCUCAUGGCCCUUAUGGGUAGGGCUUCACACGUAAUACAAUGGCGCGUACAGAGGGUUGCCAAGGAGCGAUCUGGAGCCAAUCCCGUAAAGCGCGUCGUAGUCCGGAUUGCAGUCUGCAACUCGACUGC